GUUUGAUCCUGGCUCAGAUUGAACGCUGGCGGCAUGCCUUACACAUGCAAGUCGAACGGCAGCACGGGAGCAAUCCUGGUGGCGAGUGGCGAACGGGUGAGUAAUAUAUCGGAACGUGCCCAGUCGUGGGGGAUAACGCAGCGAAAGCUGUGCUAAUACCGCAUACGAUCUAUGGAUGAAAGCGGGGGACCGUAAGGCCUCGCGCGAUUGGAGCGGCCGAUAUCAGAUUAGCUUGUUGGUGGGGUAAAAGCCCACCAAGGCGACGAUCUGUAGCUGGUCUGAGAGGACGACCAGCCACACUGGAACUGAGACACGGUCCAGACUCCUACGGGAGGCAGCAGUGGGGAAUUUUGGACAAUGGGCGCAAGCCUGAUCCAGCAAUGCCGCGUGCAGGAUGAAGGCCUUCGGGUUGUAAACUGCUUUUGUACGGAACGAAACGGCUCUUUCUAAUAAAGAGGGCUAAUGACGGUACCGUAAGAAUAAGCACCGGCUAACUACGUGCCAGCAGCCGCGGUAAUACGUAGGGUGCGAGCGUUAAUCGGAAUUACUGGGCGUAAAGCGUGCGCAGGCGGUUAUAUAAGACAGAUGUGAAAUCCCCGGGCUCAACCUGGGACCUGCAUUUGUGACUGUAUAGCUAGAGUACGGUAGAGGGGGAUGGAAUUCCGCGUGUAGCAGUGAAAUGCGUAGAUAUGCGGAGGAACACCGAUGGCGAAAGCAAUCCCCUGGACCUGUACUGACGCUCAUGCACGAAAGCGUGGGGAGCAAACAGGAUUAGAUACUCCUGGUAGUCCACGCCCUAAACGAUGUCAACUGGUUGUUGGGUCUUCACUGACUCAGUAACGAAGCUAACGCGUGAAGUUGACCGCCUGGGGAGUACGGCCGCAGGUGAACUCAAAGGAAUUGACGGGGACCCGCACA
rnacentral:rRNA from 1 species